AUCGAACGCUGGCGGCAUGCCUUACACAUGCAAGUCGAACGGUAACAGGUCUUCGGAUGCUGACGAGUGGCGAACGGGUGAGUAAUACAUCGGAACGUGCCUAGUAGUGGGGGACAACUACUCGAAAGAGUGGCUAAUACCGCAUGAGAUCUACGGAUGAAAGCAGGGGAUCGCAAGACCUUGUGCUACUAGAGCGGCCGAUGGCAGAUUAGGUAGUUGGUGGGAUAAAAGCUUACCAAGCCGACGAUCUGUAGCUGGUCUGAGAGGACGAUCAGCCACACCGGGACUGAGAAACGGCCCAGACUCCUACGGGAGGCAGCAGUGGGGAAUUUUGGACAAUGGGCGCAAGCCUGAUCCAGCAAUGCCGCGUGCAGGAUGAAGGCCUUCGGGUUGUAAACUGCUUUUGUACGGAACGAAAAGCCCCGGGUUAAUACCCUGGGGUCAUGACGGUACCGUAAGAAUAAGCACCGGCUAACUACGUGCCAGCAGCCGCCGUAA
rnacentral:rRNA from 1 species